rnacentral:misc_RNA from 1 species
GAUGAAGAACGCAGCGAAAUGCGAUAAGUAAUGUGAAUUGCAGAAUUCAGUGAAUCAUCGAAUCUUUGAACGCACCUUGCGCCCUUUGGCCAUUCCGAAGGGCAUGCCUGUUUGAGUAUCAUGAACACCUCAACUCUUCAUGGUUUUCCGUGAUGAGCUUGGACUUUGGGGGUCUUGCUGGCCUAUGGUCAGCUCCUCUAAAAUAAAUCAACUUGCCAGUGUUUGGUGGGUAUCACAGGUGUGAUAACUAUCUACGCUUGUGGUUUUCCACCAGGUAACCUUCAGCAGUGGAGGUUCGCUGGAGCUCACAGAUGUGUCUCUCCUCAGUGAGGACAGCUCUUUGAAUGUUUGAUCUCAAAUCAGGUAGGACUACCCGCUGAACUUAAGCAUAUCAAUAAGCGGAGGA